rnacentral:tRNA from 1 species
GGAGGGGCCAGCCGACAGACGGCGACGGCCGCGGUUUCGAAAACCGUCGGCGCCCGCAAGGGCGCGUGCGAGUUCGACCCUCGCCCCCUCCGC